CCCUUAGAUGUUCUGGGCCGCACGCGCGCUACACUGACGAUGGCAACGAGUUUUUCCUUCGCCGAAAGGUGUGGGUAAUCUUUUGAAACAUCGUCGUGCUGGGGAUAGAUCAUUGCAAUUUUUGAUCUUGAACGAGGAAUUCCUAGUAAGCGCGAGUCAUCAGCUCGCGUUGAUUACGUCCCUGCCCUUUGUACACACCGCCCGUCGCUCCUACCGAUUGAAUGAUCCGAUGAAUAUCAUGGAUUGAGGAUGUAAGCAGGUUCGCCUGUCUUCAUCUUCGAGAAGUGAAGUAAAUCUUAUCAUUUAGAGGAAGGAGAAGUCGUAACA
rnacentral:rRNA from 1 species